CUUUUUGCCCCCGCCGCCUAAGCUUUUUGCCUGCGCCGCCGCGGCUUUUUGCCCCCCGUCGCCGCGGCUUUUUGCCGCCGCGGCUUUCUGCUCCCGCCGCCGCGGCUCUGAGGGCGGGAGCGGCAGACUCCGCUGCCAGCUCUACUGGCGUCCUGGCAAGGGCAGCGCCGAGGGGCGCUCCCGGUCCAGCUCUCCCGGCUCGGGGGUUCCUUGCCUAGGCGCCCGAGCCCCGGGCUCCCUGCCUCGGCCGCUGUGGCCUGCAUAGGGCGGCACUGCGCGCGGAGGCGAUGGGAGAGAAGAAGGAGGGCGGUGGCGGGGGUGAUGCAGCGGCCGCUGAGGGUGGCGCAGGGGCCCCGGCCAGCCCGGGGCUGCAGCAGUGCGGACAGCUCCAGAAGCUCAUCGGCAUCUCCAUUGGCAGCCUGCGCGGGCUGGGCACCAAGUGCGCUGUGUCCAACGACCUCACCGAGCAGGAGAUACGGACCCUGGAGGCCUGUAAAUUACUCUCUGAUGACUAUGAACAAGUGCGCAGUGCUGCAGUCUAGCUUAUCUGGGUUGUCAGUCAGCUCUAUCCUGAAAGCAUUGUCCCAAUUCCUUCUUCUAAUGAAGAAAUACGCUUAGUUGAUGAUGCGUUUGGAAAAAUUUGUCACAUGGUCAGUGAUGGCUCUUGGGUGGUUCAUGUUCAGGCAGCAAAACUGUUGGGCUCUAUGGAGCAAGUCAGUUCUCAUUUCUUGGAGCAGACCCUUGACAAGAAGCUGAUGUCAGAUCUGAGGAGGAAACGUACUGCACAUGAGCGUGCCAAGGAACUUUACAGUUCAGGGGAGUUUUCCAGUGGCAGAAAGUGGGAAGAUGAUGCUCCCAAGGAAGAAGUAGAUACCGGGGCUGUGAACUUGAUUGAGUCAGGAGCUUGUGGAGCUUUUGUUCAUGGGUUGGAAGAUGAGAUGUAUGAUACAACAGAGAAAUGCAUAAUGUCCAGCGAAUUUAUUAAAGUUCCAAAGUCGGUCGCGCGCCGUGGCUCACGCCUGUAAUCUCAACACUUCGGGAGGCCGAGGCAUGUGGAUCAUGAGGUCAGGAGUUGGAGACUAGCCUGACCAACAUGGUGAAACCCCGUCACUACUAAAAAUACAGAAAUCAGCCAGGCAUGGUGGCACGCGGCUGUAAUCCCCGCUACUCAGGAGGCUGAGGCAGGAGAAUUGCUUGAACCUGGGAGGCAGAGGUUGCAGUGAGCCGAGAUGGCGCCACUGCACUCCAGCCUGGACGAAAGAGUGAGUGAGACUCCUUCUCAAAAAAACAAAAAAAAAGAGUUGCAAAGUCAUACUCACCUUUCUGCUCUUGUCGGACAAUUAAGGGGUCUUUGAAUACUUCAGCCCUAAUAAUUUGCUUCCUAACAUACAUAUUGCAGUGCUUAUCUAAUUUUGAAUAUCUUUUUGUUUCAACACCUAAUUUUUUAUUUAGAUCUAUCUGUAUGUUUACAGUAUAUUUUGCUCUGUGUUCAUUCUCUGAUUUCAGAACUUCAGCCUUUCUGAAGCAUGUUUUCAGAGUUUCUCUUUAGUUUCUUUAGUGGAAUUCUGCUGGUGGCGUUUUGUUUUUUGUCUCUAAAUAUGUUAUUUAGCCAUAGGUUGAUGAAUAUUUUUCUUGCUUGAGAAUUUCAGAAUGGCAUUAUUAUUUUUAACAAAUACUAUUAUUUUACCUUUCAUUCUUUCAGAUUUCAAUAUGAUUAAAGGUAAUUUGAUUUUUCUAGUGCUAAGUGAAAUAUUUUUCCCUUCCUGAUUGUUUACUAUUACUCUAGGAGAUACGUAGGUGUAGGUUUAUCUCCAUUGUAGCUUGCUUAGCAUGCAUGGAAUUUUUGAACAUGCGGAUUAGUGUCUUACAAAAGUCUAGAGAACUUUCAGCCAAAAUACCAUCACAUAUUCUCCCUUCCCAGUUCUAUUCUUGUAUGAGAACACUCACUACACACAUGCUACACUUUCUCACUGUAUCAUCCAUGUCUCUUAAUGAUUCUGUCCACAUUUUGCAUUUUUUAAAAUUUUCUGUAAUGCAUUCUGAAAUAUUUAUGAACUCUCACCAUGGCCAUGUCUAAUCUGAUGAGUUCAUUUUUGAGUUUUUAAUUUAAAAUACUAUAUUUUUAUACAAACUACUUUUCGAAUUUGCUACAUCAAUUUUUUAGUCUCCUAAAAAUAUAUUCAUUUUAUUUUAAAUUUUUUUAAAGCAAAUUUGCUUUAUAAUCUAACAGUGAUAUUUCUACUAAUGAAACUUUGUGGAUCUGUUUGUACUCUUGUUCUGCUUUCCUUUCAGAUGGUGGAAUAUCAUUUCCUUGCGUACUUAGAUGCCUUUGAAUGACAAAUAUUUAUUUUUCUCUGAAAAUUAUUUUUGUGCACUUUUGAGGAUUAGUAAGAAGAAAAUUUGCCAAAGAGAAUUUGAAUUUUUUUGUGAGUCUACUAAAGACACCACCAUUCUGGGACCACAUUAUGUUAAUUCUUGGCCUAAAGGUGUUUGGAUGUAUGUUUGGACUGCACAUUUAAACAAUUUUUAAAUUAAUUGCUGUAAAUCAUUAAUGAUUGAGUUUCUUUAAAUCUGUCCAAUCUCAAGUCAUUUUUAUUUGCCAUUUCCAGGGAAUGUGAAAUGGGACUAAUUUACCUCUGAUUCUUGUUUAUACUGAGGACAGAAAUUUUGGUCCUAGCUUUAGGGAGGAGCUCCUGUGUGAUGCCCUAUCUUGGGAAAAGCUGUGUAUUUCUUUACUGUCCUAUGUGAUGAAUGACAGUAGGAAUCUGCACUCAUUCAUUUUGGUACAUUUCCGUAGGGCAAAAUCAGUUUCGGUGUUUAGGUAUAUUUUGUCUGCUCCCUGCGUUCCCAUGGUUUUGACCUUAUAUUUUACUUUUUUUUGUGAACAUACCAAUGCUUCAAUUUUUUUCCAGUAAUAUAAUCAACUAUAUUAUGAGAAAGAGAAAUAUUUUGAUAAAACACAAAUUUCAUGUUUUCCUACUCUAAUUGGCUUUUACGUAAAAAUACAGGUAAAAUUUAUUUGUGCUUUUUUGCUAUUUCUGUUUGGCUAUUCUCUGUCUAUGUCUUCUCCACAUAGACACAAUUAGGGAAUUUUGUACACUCUUGUGCCAACUGCUUUGAUAGUAACAAAAUGUAUUUCUCGAACUCCUAGGUAUAAAACUCAAGUAUCCACAAUUUAAAUUGUUUUUCCCUCUCUUCUAUUAUGUUUCCAGUCUCAAUAGAAAUCGAUGCCAAUCCAGAAAUACAAGCAUUAUUCUAAUACUUCUAACACAUUACAGAUAUAGAUUAAAUUUUCUAGAUCUCCUUAAAUACUAUCAUUUUUCACUACUUGUAUCUUAACUGUUAAGUUCAACACUUUCUAUAAUAUUAAUAUGUUGUGAAAGUUUCUUUACUUUCUUAUUUGUCCCAGGUUCGAUGUUUUGCAGUCUCUACCUCACCCUGUGAAGCAUAAACAUUGUACGUGCUGUACAAAUAAUACAUAGUUCAUGUGCUUAGAGAUUGCACAAUUUUUAUUUGGUUGACAAUAGCUAAUGUUUUCUUCUUCAUUUUCUACUUCCUGAUUUUUCUUUAUUUAGUAUAUACUACAUUAUCAUAAAAAUAAGAACAUUUUACAAACUAAAGCAAAAGCAACCCUAAGAAUAAAAUGCACAAAUAAAAUAUAUAAACAUACAGUUAGAUGUACCAUGUACCCUUCUAAUUUAUUUAGACAUUUAAUUUUAGUACAAUUUUAAUUAAAGUCUGUGUAUUAUCUGUCAUCGUCUUAGUAUUUUUUAUAUAACAAAUUUUGUAAAUCAAAAAGUCUCAAUGUCAUUAUAAACUAUCAUGGCAGAGGUUGAUCUCCAAGGAAUAAUUUCUCUCCCAAAUUAUGCCAAUCAGAAUUUCACUCUACCAUAAUUCUUUUAAUCAGUUUCAGAGAAAUAAUAAAUUUCAAAAUUGUUCAAGGUAAUUGUUGUAGUUCAAGUACAUUUUGACAGGUGUAAAACUGUAGACAGACUGAUACAAACAUAUUCUAACUGACUCAAAAGUAUAUGGGACCUAUUUUAAAAUCUAGAUUUUAAAAUGUCGUGUCAACAUACACAUGUUCUCCUUGUGAAAUAAUUGCUUUUUAUUCUCUGGAUAGAAUAAUUUAAUCUUUAAACCUUCAAUUCACUGUUAAAAACAAAAUAUUACAUAAGGAUAUGCUUAUAAAAAUAAUUCACAAGUAGCUUUUCAAUUCAGAAAUGUAUGUGAAAAAUCAUCAAGCAUCUAAUGGAUUUCAAGGAGAAAUGGGUUAGUAAUUUAUUCCAUAUGUCUCAAUUUUUCCUAGACUCAAGUCUUACUUUAAAAUAAUUGUAGGCGUUUAAGAAACCAUGUGAACUAAAAAGAAGAAAUUGUGACACUGCCGCUUAGGUUUUUUAAAUCUUUGGACAUGAGUCAAUAUAUUUUUUAAUUUUAUCUUAAUUAGACAUUGUGAGUUCACCAUCUUCCUGUCAGUAUAGCAUCCAAGCUGAUUAUCAUAGAUUACAAGUUCAACUAUCAACUGUGUUCUGAGAGUCUAAAAAAAUAAAUGAAUGUAUUUGUUUGGGUAUUCUUAAAGCAGGAGUGAGGACACAGCGAAAGUGAGACAAGGAAGAGAGAACAAAAUAAAACAGGAAAGAUAGAAAAGCCAAUGCCACACGUGUUUAGAGGCAAGUUCCUGUGUUAGAUAUCUGGGCUUAAUUCUAUGGGAAGCUAUGUGGAACAUGCCUCAGAAUUACAUCACUGAAUCCAGGGAGAUUCUUCUUAGUUACCCUCACCUUUUCUUCCCACUUCAUGCCCAGUAUCAAGCUCCCAUGCUGCUAGAGAGAGUCCUCGGCUAGAAACAGGUGCAAAUUCUGGAGAUGAGACCUUGUAGAGUGUUAAGGAUGGUUUUCUUCACAGCAGCUACAGGUAAGGAAUAGGGGCUGGGCUAUUAAUACAUCUGCUACAAAUCAAUAAAGGCCUUAUGCUCCUUUUGCUGAUCGACAAUGUAUUUAAAAAUAUUAGAUGAUCAAGAAGGGCUGCAGAAAGGAGGAAACAGAAACAAACAGCACACCUCUUGGUUUAUUUUUAUUCAUUUCAUCAGUUUCAAGGAAAAUGCGUUGGGAGUUCCUGGCAUAAAGAAUGUCACAAAGACAUGUUUUCAAUAGUGGUGCUAUCCCUAGGGCAGAGAAGACCCAGAGAAAGCCCAAGUGGCUGCUGCAACAAAGUCAGACACCGUGCCACCUGUCCACACUCCUUGCCUCUGCCAUCGUGCUGAAGAUCGGUUUAAAGGACUGGCUUCCCUCCCCCCGAAAUUAAAAGAGCACAAACUGAGAAACUGAAUGUAGGAGACAGCAGUGGAUUAUGCUGUUCCCAGGGGUCACCUCAGGUUUGGAAGCAUUCUUUCAAAUUAACCCAUCUCAGGCCAUCUGCAGAGAAGAAAGGUGGUACCUAACUUUUUUUCUUGUCAGCAUUUAGUAGCUGUGUUUUAUUGAACAAAUAAGUUCCCACAACCUAGUUUUUUGUAACUAAAUGUAGUAGAUUUUUAAAUUUUAUCAUCAAAAUCUAUGGACAAUUUUUGAUUAAAAUAGACUCCAUGUCUAUGUCCUGCUUUUCCUCUUAUUAAUUACAUUGUUGUAUAAAAGAACAAGACAUCAGAAUCAAGAAUAUCUUGUCUCUUGGCUUUGAAUUUAUACAAGGUGCUCUUUAAUGCUGUCUCAAAGGACAUAUUUUUACUCAUUAAAGAGAAGAUCGGAAUCGAGUUGUAUGCACUGCUCCAACAUAUUAAUAAUUAAAAUUAGGAGGUAAAUGUGGUCAAAGCUAUAGAAAGACUUGAGAUGUCAUUUAUAUUGAUUACUGUAUAGCACUCGACAAACAGAAAUGGUUAAAUAAUAGUUUAUAUAAAUAUUUUGUAGCAUUUCAAGUAUUUGAAUGCCUGAAGUUUCUCCUCUUAUAUAGUUCAGAUUAUCAAUUUGAAGACUUAUUCCGCUAGUUAAAAUGUUUUUAGUCUCGUUUGAGUAUUAUAUAAAAGCAAUUUUCAGUUAAAUGUGUUCCACUUACAUAAAACAUUACAAAUUGUGAGUAUUUAAUUACAUUUUCAUGUUCCUGUAAUGUCUUUAGAAGAUUUUCAUAUCAUUACCUAUCAAUAUAUGUAUGCUUUGUCAAAGAAAAGUCAAACAUAUAUAUCAUUGAAAUUGAAACUUUUUAAAAGUACUUAAUAAUUCUAUUGAAAAACCACAUCCAUAGGAACAAUUACAAUAUAAUAUUGUGAACAUGUAAAUAUAUAUCCUAUGUCUAUUUUAUAUAUAAGCAUAUAUGAUUAAAAUAUAGUUAAGAAUUUUUAAACCUAGUAUUAUAAAGUAAAAUUAGUUAAACUUCUGAUGAUUAUUUGUUAAUUAAGAUAAAAUUAUUUUGAUUUGGGUGAUUUUAAAUAAAAAAAUUACAUGACAAAAAUUCUUUAUAAAAUGUUUAUGAUUUUUACUUUGGUUUUAUCACUUUAUUCCACUCUUUUAUUUUAAGAUGACCUGCCUUGUUUAAAACACUGUAUCCAUCUUAAUUAAAUUAAAUUCCAUUUGUCAAAAAAUUAACAAAUGAUUUGCUCUAUUAUACAGUGCAGUUAUAAACUGAGUCAGUAUCUCAAGAUUUGAUCCCCAUUAUCGUCUGUGGCCCUAUUUGUUUUAUAAAUGUAGUGCCUUUUUCCAUGCCUGUCACAUCUCUAUUGUUCAUUCAUUUUUCUCUUUGUUCCUUAUAGGGAGCAUUGCCUAUCUCUAGAUUAAACAAAAGUUGCAUCUUAAAAAAGCACAAUAACCUGCUCAAUCUUUCUCACACAGACAAAUGUUUAUUAAGUAAUUAAAGUGUAGAUGAUGAUACAAAGAGCUUGAUUAAAUUAGAUGCCAAAGUACACUUUGUGAUUCAGAAUAUGAAUGGUAUUUAAUUUCUUCGAAAUCAGUAAUUGCUGAGUGACAUUAAUGCCAAUAUUUCAGAAGUUUUUCUGGUUAGUGAAAUGGGUACAACAUGUAAAAGUUUCCAAACUCUGAAGGGCAACAUUAUUCUAUAAUUAAGAAUUAAGAAUUCACAUUAAUUAUUAGGGAGAAAUAAUUAUUAAAAUUAAUGACAGAAAAUGUUUUUUUUAUUUAGAAAAUUAUUUUGUGCAUGAACAUUACUGCAAGUUUUGCAAGAAACAAAUUUAUAGAAACAAUUAUGUGCACAAGAUGAAUUUAAUAACAUCUUGAUAUUUUCCACGAUUAGAGUUUUAUUUGGUAAAUCUUUAAAUGCAUAUCAACUAAAGAUAAUAAAUGAAUCUUGGAAAUCUUGUAGGUAAGGGUAAAUAUUAGGAUGCAUCCAAUUACAUUUACACACACAUACAGUUACAUUUACACACAUGCACACACUGAUACACGUGUGUGUAUAUAUAUACAUGAAUUUACCAAUUGAUUUUAACUAAUAUUUAUAAGAGCCAGUAAGAUUGAUAUAUAUUGUUGAACCUGAAAAAUAUUUAUUAUAUACAUGUUAUAAAUAAAUAGUAAUUGCACUAGGCAUUUGAAACUGUACUAAAAUAUAAGCUGUGAAUAUUUUGUGAUCAUUACAAAUUCUUACACUGAAUAUUUUUAUUUUUAUAAUAUGUUUGAUACAUGUGUACAUUUUUUACAAUGUAUUAUUUUAUUUUUGUCAGUCAUGUGAUGCAUAAUAACAUUUCAGUCAAUGAUGGAUUACAUAUACAAAAGUGAUCCCAUGAGAUUAUAAUACAUAUUUUUACAUACUUUUCUAUGUUUAAGAAUGUUUAGAUACAUAAACUCUUACCGCUGUGUUCUUAUUGCUGGCAGUAUUCAGUAUAGUAAUAUAGUACACAGGUUUGUAGCCUAGGGGAGAGAGGCUAUACCAUAUAACCUAGACGUGGUAGGCUGUACAAUUUAGGUGUUUGUAAUAUUCACUGUGAUGUUUACAAAACGAUGAAAAUGCCUAUGGAUGCAUCUGUUAGAAUAUAUCCUAUCAUUCAGUGAUGUGUGACUGUACUAAAAUGCUCAAUGUAAGUUUCGAUGCUCUCCAUAAAAUUGCUGUCCUGUGAAA